CAGACCACGACUUAUUUAAAAGCACUGCAAGCCGCCUACAUAGAAGGUAUUUUGGUUUUAGGAAUGUUUGAACUAAACGUUUCUGAGCAUCAUGUCUGUUAGAACGUUCGAGGUUGUAUAAUAUGUGUUUGAAUGAAACUUGUUCGGCUUCUAGCGUUCGAACGUUAGAAUCAAGAAUUUCCUUAAAUUAAAUUUGAGUUAGAAAAUCGAACAUUUUGGUCAACGUCAUGCACGUUCACAAGGUUUUGUAGUUUUCUGUCGGUGAACGUCGUAAAUACAUUGGAAUCGAAAUUUAAUUUGUAGUACGACAUGAUUGUUACGCAAUCCUGUGAGCUACUGUAGCCACCUACUGGGAUGGGACGGGGGAACACUCUAGAAAACUUGUCUACAUGUUUCUUAACUUAAAAUGAUUCAUAUUCAUAUUAGUCUUUCCCCAGUUAAGUAUGUUUAUAAGUGGCUCAAGAUGUAAAUGCAGCGCCACAGAACUGCAACUGAGUCGUAGUAACCAUUUUAUUUUAUUACCAUUUUUUAAACUAUAGUGAGUAAACUGAAUUAUUGAAUGAAAUGUUCAGGGUGUCUGAAUAAAUUUUGGUUUGACUGUAUAUAAAUUAAGAAUACUAUACAAAACGACAGAAAGAUUCUGGAACCUUCUUAAACCAAUGAUGGAGCUAUUUUACAGAUAUAGUUGUUGUAUUUACAUAAUAUUACAAAUAAGAUUUUUCCAUGUGGUAUUUCAUAAAACAGAGUUCUAUAUUGUAUUUCCAGUUGUUGGUUUUUCUUCUGAAAAACUGUCAGUAGUUUUUCAUAGUAAAUUUUGUGAGGUAGUUGACACCUUUCAGGUUUUCAAACUUGACCAUAUUGUAAAUUUAUUAAAUAUAAAUAGACAGAAUAGGUUGACAUAGAGAAAUGAACACACAGAAGACCCCAUAGACAAACCUUCUGCAUUUUGCAUGAUGUAACCCUUAAAAUCGCCCCCUUAAAAUCCUAAAAUAAUUGAGAUAUUUAGACCAGUGCUUAGACAGCAGUCCAGACAGAUGGGAACAGAGCGUGACAUUCUGAAAGCAGCGGUCUAUGCUAGCCAAAUCAGACAUGUGCCUUUGCCCAGAGACAGAAAGUGAUUAAUAAAAAGAAAAGCAAAGCACUAGACCUCAGUAGAUGAAGUCGGCACAGUUCUACGAUGACCGGGGAGAGAGAUCAGACACAUUCCUGUCAGCACUCCAGGUUGAUGAAUGUCAUAAAGAGAUGUCUAUGUGUGUAUAUAUGGGGUGAUAUUUGUGAAACAUUCCACCACUCUUUGAUAUUUUAACCACACAGCCCACUUUUCCAUCAUAUUCCUGGCAUAAUGUGGCUUUUCGGCCUGGACGCAGGGGCCGCAGGCGCCAACUGUUACUUCAUUGACAGCUUGUGUGUUUGUUUUCCUGGGUCAAUCAGCAUUUAUCUAGGCAAAUAUUUUUUUUCCUCUUAAAGUGUGUUUGCUGUUCUGAAAGGAAAGGCACCAGCUUGUUUUGGGGUUAUGAAUGGAUGAGUUUUUUUUGUGCCAGCAGUAUUGACCCCUGUUGCUCUGUCAUUGGUUAGUUCGUUUUGCAUCAAAAAGUCCAAUCAGAGAAGGAUCAAAACUCAGCAAGAAUGUCCCGUUAGAUCUGCCUUGUGUAAAGCAAUUGGGGGGGUUCCCUUAAAUUGUGAAGUAGGAUAAACUAGGAUCAUGUGCCACAAAAUAUCCGUGCAAAAGCACAUUUGUGCUCACGGGCUUACAUAAAAACAAAUAGCACACGGUUAUUCAACAGUUCGAUUCAAGCGCAAAUGACUCUCAUGGGUCAGUUGAAUUGUUAAAAAUUAUUUGCAAAUUUAGAAAUUACCGAUUUGAAUCUGAGUGACAAAUCCUUCUCUGAUUACCUUUAUUAAUAAUUAUUAAAAUAAUAUUAGGAUUUGUAAUAUUAGGAAUGUUUGAACUAAACGUUUCUGAGCAUCAUAUCUGUUAGAACGUUCGAGGUUGUAUAAUAUGCGUUUGAAUGAAACUUGUUCGGCAUAAUUCUAGCAUUCGAACGAAUACAAAUCCGUUUCGAGCUACAUUCAUAUGUGGUUUGAAAUCCUAUUCAAAUCAAAUUUCUGGAAACGCAUUUGACUGCUCUGAUUGCAUUCACACCACGUAAAACAUUAACGUCAGAUGUUGUCUGAAAGUCGCUGCAGAAACGAGGUUGUGUUGUUGAAAAGUGCUGGACGAGCGGAAAAUGACAAAAUAACGGAGACAUUUUUUGAAACCGUACAGCCUCCUACGGUUCUGCCGCUGCCUCGGAAGACGCACCAGUCCAGCGUAGCGACUACACAUUGUCGUGUUGUAAAUAAGACGUCAUCUAGAGUUGUCAAAAGUACUGACUUCGGUACCGGUACUGAAAUAACGAAUCUGCUUAACAGCGCUCAAUUUUAAAAUUUCAGUACCGAAGUCGGUACUUUUGACAACUCUAACAUCAUCUGUAUUGCAGACCCCUCCAUGUUGCGGUUGUUGUUUUUGCCGCAUACCUACCAACGCAACGUCAUUGUCAUAUAAACCAAUGAAGAUAUUCCGGAAAACAAAAGAGCAGCAUGGGACACACAAAUCGGAUCUGAACAGUUGCGAUACACAAUGUGGACAGUCAAUAAUUUCAAUCAGAUUCCAAUCGAUACACAAAUAAUCUGAUUUGGACUGACAGUGUGAAUGUAGACCUGAAAUACUCAAGGUGACGAACUCAAUUACAAAAAGGUGUGCUCUAAUUAGAAACAUAAUGACAAACCAUGACAACUGUUGGAUGAUGUGCAAACAGGAACAAAGGCCGACGGCAACAAAGAGAAACAUAAUAAGAGUUCAUGAAUAUGCAACUAAAACGUAACUAAACGUGACAGAUAUACUUAAAAGACUAUGCAUUUCGCACUUUUAUCACUAGACCUGAUCAAUAUCUCCUUUGCCAGUUUACCUGUAUAAGUAAAGGGAUUUUUUUUUUUAUCAGUUUUUGUGUCUCCAAAAUUAUGUCCUAUUUUGAUACUGUCCUAUCUGUGACCUCAGUGUUACUGUUGUUAUCUUUCAAUCUUUUCAGAAACUCACAGAGCUCAAGCCAUAUCUAUUGUGGUGCAACCAAGAUAACAUCAUAGAAAAGCCUUGUGAACUGCACUGUGGCAGCAUUUUAUCACAGUAUCUCUACCAUUGUCUUUCUAAUCAACCCAGCACAAUUCAAUAUGCAGUGCUUGAGAACAUGUUAGUAUAUAAUAGAACCCACCGUAUAUAUUUUCCUAGAGAUUAAGCAAAGUGCUUCAUUCUAGCUAUGCAAGUGCUUGUGUACUAAGCAAACCGUGCACCUGCGUUGCUUGAAAAAAGUGUGUGAGUGUGUGAGGUUUCCCCAGUCACUCAGUGGGGUUUGGUUCGUGCCCAUCACCACGCUCAGCCAGACAGCAUGGCACUUCCUCUGCCAAACAUUUUCUGGAUGACCGACUCUAAGCGGAUAACAGCACAGCAGGAAUGUGUGGGCAUGUUGCCUUAUUUCGUUGCACAAUAAAUGGCCCUGCCUGGGAUUACUAAGAAGAAAACAUGACCACUGAAUUGCGUGUGCUUCCAAGAGACUGCAAAUUCUGCAAAGGCAAGCUGCUUCGUCAAGCCAGAUGCAUAUCUCACGGGGGGCUGUAUUUUCCAGAUCACAGGGCCAGAAUUUUGCACUAGACAGAGAAUGGAAAUAAACAACAGGUCGCAGAAAUGAGUCCUGCGGGGUCGCAGGAAAGACCCAGAGCUGUUGGGCAAAGCAGAUGAAUGAAAGGACUUUUGGGGGAAUUUUGGCAAAGCCUGAAAAAGAGUGGAAAACGGGAUGCUGCGGCCAAGCAAACAUCUGUUUGCUCUGACAAAUGGCUGUCUGCAGUCUGGAACAGUGUUCCUCUAUCACUCUUGGCUUCUCUUGUGCUUAUGUUAAAUGAAAUUAUGGUUUUCUUCUAUAGAACAGUGUUUAACAUUACAAAUAUUCAUCUAGUA